rnacentral:rRNA from 1 species
AACGAACGCUGGCGGCAUGCCUAACACAUGCAAGUCGAACGAGACCUUCGGGUCUAGUUGCGCACGUGUGCGUAACGCGUGGGAACCUGCCCUUAGGUUCGGAAUAACUCCCCGAAAGGGGUGCUAAUACCGGUUAAUGUCUUCGGACCAAAGAUGUAUCGCCUUUGGAUGGGCCCGCGUUGGAUUAGCUAGUUGGUAGGGUACAAGCAUACCAAGGCGACGAUCCAUAGCUGGUCUGAGAGGAGGAUCAGCUCCACUGGAAAUGAGACACGGACCAGACUGCUACGGGAGGGAGCAGAGGGGAAUAUUGGAGAAUGGGCGAAAGACUGAUAAAGCAAUGCGGGGGGAGAGAUGAAGGGGGUAGGGUUGUAAAGCUCUUUUAGACGGGAUGAUAAUGACAGUACCGGGAGAAGAAGCACCGGCUAACUACGUG